rnacentral:rRNA from 1 species
CCUACGGGUGAGCAGCAGUGGGGAAUAUUGGGCAAUGGGCGCAAGCCUGCCCCAGCAAUGCCGCGUGAAGGAAGAAGGCUUUCGGGUUGUCAACUUCUUUGACAGGGGCAGAGCAGAAGACGGUACCCUGAAAACAAGCCACGGCUAACUACGUGCCAGCAGCCGCGGUAAUACGUAGGUGGCAAGCGUUGUCCGGAUUUACUGGGUGUAAAGGGCGUGUAGCCGGGAAGGCAAGUCAGAUGUGAAAUCCGGAGGCGCAACCUCCGAAUUGCAUUUGAAACUGUUUUUCUUGAGUACUGGGGAGGCAGACGGAAUUCCUUGUGUAGCGGUGAAAUGCGUAGAUAGAAGGAGGAACACCAGUGGCGAAGGCGGUCUGCUGGACAGCAACUGACGGUGAGGCGCGAAAGCGUGGGGAGCAAACAGGAGGAGAUACCCGGGUAGGC